GCGUUGUCCGGAAUCAUUGGGCGUAAAGAGCGCGCAGGCGGCUUGGCAAGUCGGGUGUGAAAUCCCGGGGCUCAACCCCGGGACUGCAUCCGAUACUGUCAGGCUAGAGGUAGGUAGGGGAGAUCGGAAUUCCUGGUGUAGCGGUGAAAUGCGCAGAUAUCAGGAGGAACACCGGUGGCGAAGGCGGAUCUCUGGGCCUUACCUGACGCUCAGGCGCGAAAGCUAG
rnacentral:rRNA from 1 species